AAGCUCGUAGUUGAAUUUCGGGAUUGGGAUAUAUCGGUCGUGCCUUUAGGGGCAUGAAUCAGUGUGUGGCCAAUUCUCACCUUCUGGUGAAUUGGGAUGCUCUCGGGUGUUUCAAUGAACUAGGACUUUUACUUUGAAAAAAUUAGAGUGUUUAAAGCGGGCAUUUUUGCUUGAAUACGUUAGCAUGGAAUAAUAAAAUAGGACGAUGGUUCUAUUUUGUUGGUUUUAGGACCACGUAAUGAUUAAUAGGGAUAGUUGGG
rnacentral:rRNA from 1 species